GACGAACGCUGGCGGCGUGCUUAACACAUGCAAGUCGUACGGUAAGGCCCUUUCGGGGGUCCACGAGUGGCGCACGGGUGAGUAACACGUGAGUAACCUGCCCACAACUUUGGGAUAACGCUAGGAAACUGGUGCUAAUACUGGAUAUGUGCUCCUGCUGCAUGGUGGGGGUUGGAAAGCUCCGGCGGUUGUGGAUGGACUCGCGGCCUAUCAGCUUGUUGGUGGGGUAGUGGCCUACCAAGGCGGCGACGGGUAGCCGGCCUGAGAGGGUGACCGGCCACAUUGGGACUGAGAGACGGCCCAGACUCCGACGGGAGGCAGCAGUGGGGAAUAUUGCACAAUGGGCGCAAGCCUGAUGCAGCAACGCCGCGUGCGGGAUGACGGCCUUCGGGUUGUAAACCGCUUUCAGCAGGGACGAAGCUUUUUGUGACGGUACCUGCAGAAGAAGCACCGGCUAACUACGUG
rnacentral:rRNA from 1 species